GACGUAGGGGGCAAGCGUUGUCCGGAUUCAUUGGGCGUAAAGAGCGUGUAGGCGGCCAGGUAGGUCGGUUGUGAAAACUGGAGGCUCAACCUUCAGAGGUCGACCGAAACCAUCUGGCUAGAGUCCGGGAGAGGAGAGUGGAAUUCCUGGUGUAGCGGUGAAAUGCGCAGAUAUCAGGAAGAACACCCGUGGCGAAGGCGGCAUUCUGGACCGACAUUGACGCUGAGGAGCGAAAGCCAGGGGAGCAAACGGG
rnacentral:rRNA from 1 species